rnacentral:rRNA from 1 species
AUUGAACGCUGGCGGCAGGCCUAACACAUGCAAGUCGAACGGUAACAGGAAGCAGCUUGCUGCUUCGCUGACGAGUGGCGGACGGGUGAGUAAUGUCUGUGAAGCUGCCUGAUGGAGGGGGAUAACUACUGGAAACGGUAGCUAAUACCGCAUAAUGUCGCAAGACCAAAGAGGGGACCUUCGGGCCUCUUGUCAUCGGAUGUGCCCAGAUGGGAUUAGCUUGUUGGUGGGGUAACGGCUCACCAAGGCGACGAUCCCUAGCUGGUCUGAGAGGAUGACCAGCCACACUGGAACUGAGACACGGUCCAGACUCCUACGGGAGGCAGCAGUGGGGAAUAUUGCACAAUGGGCGAAAGCCUGAUGCAGCCAUGCCGCGUGUAUGAAGAAGGCCUUCGGGUUGUAAAGUACUUUCAGCGGGGAGGAAGGGAGUAAAGUUAAUACCUUUGCUCAUUGACGGUACCCGCAGAAGAAGCACCGGCUAACUCCGUG